AGUAUUGAUUAUUGUCUCAGAUUGAACAGCUGGGCGGGCAGGGCGUAUCACAUGCACAUCGAGCGGUAGGCACGGGAGAAGAGCCUGCUUUCUUCCGCUGACGAGCGGCGGACGGGUGAGUAAUGUCUGGGGAUCUGCCUGAUGGAGGGGGAUAACUACUGGAAACGGUAGCUAAUACCGCAUAACGUCGCAAGACCAAAGUGGGGGACCUUCGGGCCUCAUGCCAUCAGAUGAACCCAGAUGGGAUUAGCUAGUAGGUGAGGUAAUGGCUCACCUAGGCGACGAUCCCUAGCUGGUCUGAGAGGAUGACCAGCCACACUGGAACUGAGACACGGUCCAGACUCCUACGGGAGGCAGCAGUGGGGAAUAUUGCACAAUGGGCGCAAGCCUGAUGCAGCCAUGCCGCGUGUAUGAAGAAGGCCUUCGGGUUGUAAAGUACUUUCAGUAGGGAGGAAGGUGUGCGUGUUAAUAGCACGUACAAUUGACGUUACCUACAGAAGAAGCACCGGCUAACUCCGUGCCAGCAGCCGCGGUAAUACGGAGGGUGCAAGCGUUAAUCGGAAUUACUGGGCGUAAAGCGCACGCAGGCGGUUUGUUAAGUUGGAUGUGAAAUCCCCGGGCUUAACCUGGGAACUGCAUCCAAGACUGGCAAGCUAGAGUCUCGUAGAGGGAGGUAGAAUUCCAGGUGUAGCGGUGAAAUGCGUAGAGAUCUGGAGGAAUACCGGUGGCGAAGGCGGCCUCCUGGACGAAGACUGACGCUCAGGUGCGAAAGCGUGGGGAGCAAACAGGAAUAGAUACCCUGGUAGUCCACGCUGUAAACGAUGU
rnacentral:rRNA from 1 species